UUCCCAGGAUACUUUGCGAAUCAAAGAUGGUGGCUUGCAUAACAACGACCGUGUCAAAUUGUAUUUUCUUGUACAUUUCUUGCAUAAUUGAUCCAAAAGCUGUCUUAAACGCAUGUCUCCAACACGACUGCGUUAAAGGUAACGUUACCGUCAGGCUUUCCUAACUGAGGACCUGGCUGCUAGGUAAUGUUGACAGUUUAACUUGUAUACCAUCCUUUAUUUUAACGCGUAGGCCUACCAUUAAUUGUGUUGGUUGGCUAAGCCACACUUCCAUUGCGAAGUGCACAGCUUUCUGCACCAGCCUGAAUAAUUCUAGUUAUGUAGGGUGUCAAAUCCGAUCCAAAAGUCGAACGAGCACUAGAUGGCGCGCGCGAGCUAGAUUAAACAUUGCUCGAGAAGAAAUGUGGUCGAGCGAGCAGAGGACCGGUUCAGGGAGCGUAGACCGGUGUGGUGCGCACAUAUUACAGUUGAAAGUUUACGAGUGAGUGAGCAGAACUUCAUUCCCGCACGUAUUAAAUUAGAGAAGUUUUUUUGGUUAACCUGAAGAAAUAUUUUCUACAUAUCGAGAUUCAGAAAUUACUGCACUCACAAAUACGGGGGACUACCAACUAAUUGUAUGCCUUAAUUAAACAACUGCACAUAUUGCUCCACCUUCCUCAAUCUCCAUUGUCAUACUUUUGUUUACCUUUUUACCAAUGUCUAUGGAUUGUACAAGGAUUUUAAUUUGGGAGUUAAAGUAAAAAGCUGAGGGAUGGGGACAUGUAACAGCUCUCAAAUUCAUAGACUGCGUUAUGGAUGCAAGGACAGACCAUCGCGCCGCCUCCUUAAACCCCCAUAAGAGAUGACCCAAAGAUUCAUUGGGACAGCGCUUAUGUCAAAUGAUACAAUUCUGUUCUAAAUGACCGAGUCCAUCCUCACCACCUCCAUCACUGCAACGGAUUGUCUGGUCUGCUGAGAGGGUCAUUGGCUGUCCUGCACGAAUCGAAGGCAAAGAAGUGUGCUGGGAAGUUCAUUGCCGACCCCUUCCACCCCCUCUUCCAAACAUUCCCCUCUGUUCCCCAAAGGGGAACAGUUUCUUCCCCUUUGUCAUUGGCCCUCACCAACCGUCCACCUGGUCCUCUCAUCCAUGGACUUUGCACCUUACACUCCUAUUAUAUGCAUCAUUUAGCAUAUGUUUACAUUUUAGCCAUUUAGCUGACACUCGCAUCCAGAGCGACAUACAGGUAGCAAAUAAGGUAAAUUGCCUCGCCAAAGUGUACAUCGACAGAUUUUUCAGUCUGCUCGAGAUUUGAACCAGCGACCUGGAAGAACAGCCCAAUGCUCUUAACAUGUAGGCUACCUGCAGUUUAAAGUGUACAUACUGUAUGUGGAUAUUUUCUUUUUGUUUGUAUAUUCUGUUUGUGGCAGCACCAUUUCAGUCAAGUUCCUGAACAUGCAAAUGUAUUUGUUGAAUAAAGCUGAUUCAGUUUA